rnacentral:rRNA from 1 species
CUACGGGCCGCUGCAGUGGGGAAUAUUGGACAAUGGGGGCAACCCUGAUCCAGCAAUGCCGCGUGUGUGAAGAAGGCCUGCGGGUUGUAAAGCACUUUCAAUAGGGAGGAAAAGCUUUGGGUUAAUACCCCGAAGUCUUGACGUUACCUUUAGAAGAAGCACCGGCUAACUCUGUGCCAGCAGCCGCGGUAAUACAGAGGGUGCGAGCGUUAAUCGGAAUUACUGGGCGUAAAGCGCGCGUAGGCGGUUUGAUAAGUCAGAUGUGAAAGCCCCGGGCUUAACCUGGGAACUGCAUUUGAUACUGUCAAACUAGAGUAUGGUAGAGGGUAGUAGAAUUCCUGGUGUAGCGGUGAAAUGCGUAGAUAUCAGGAGGAAUACCAGUGGCGAAGGCGGCUACCUGGACCAAUACUGACGCUGAGGUGCGAAAGCGUGGGGAGCAAACAGGAUUAGAUACCCGAGUAGUC